rnacentral:rRNA from 1 species
AACGAACGCUGGCGGCAGGCUUAACACAUGCAAGUCGAGCGCCCCGCAAGGGGAGCGGCAGACGGGUGAGUAACGCGUGGGAAUCUACCGAGCCCUGCGGAAUAGCUCCGGGAAACUGGAAUUAAUACCGCAUACGCCCUACGGGGGAAAGAUUUAUCGGGGUUUGAUGAGCCCGCGUUGGAUCAGCUAGUUGGUGGGGUAAUGGCCUACCAAGGCGACGAUCCAUAGCUGGUCUGAGAGGAUGAUCAGCCACAUUGGGACUGAGACACGGCCCAAACUCCUACGGGAGGCAGCAGUGGGGAAUAUUGGACAAUGGGGGCAACCCUGAUCCAGCCAUGCCGCGUGAGUGAUGAAGGCCUUAGGGUUGUAAAGCUCUUUCACCGGUGAAGAUAAUGACGGUAACCGGAGAAGAAGCCCCGGCUAACUUCGUGCCAGCAGCCGCCGUAACAC